rnacentral:rRNA from 1 species
AUUGAACGCUGGCGGCAGGCCUAACACAUGCAAGUCGAAUGGUAACAGGAAACAGCUUGCUGUUUCUCUGACGAGUGGCGGACGGGUGAGUAAUGUCUGGGAAACUGCCUGAUGGAGGGGGAUAACUACUGGAAACGGUAGCUAAUACCGCAUAACGUCGCAAGACCAAAGAGGGGGACCUUCGGGCCUCUUGCCAUCAGAUGUGCCCAGAUGGGAUUAGCUAGUAGGUGGGGUAACGGCUCACCUAGGCGACGAUCCCUAGCUGGUCUGAGAGGAUGACCAGCCACACUGGAACUGAGACACGGUCCAGACUCCUACGGGAGGCAGCAGUGGGGAAUAUUGCACAAUGGGCGCAAGCCUGAUGCAGCCAUGCCGCGUGUAUGAAGAAGGCCUUCGGGUUGUAAAGUACUUUCAGCGGGGAGGAAGGGAGUAAAGUUAAUACCUUUGCUCAUUGACGUUACCCGCAGAAGAAGCACCGGCUAACUCCGU